GACUCGAUGGCGGAUGGCCCACACCUGCGAUUUGUACGCAAUAUUGACCUCUCCCGCAAGAGUUGCCUGUUCGAAUCAGGCUCGAGUCA